AAAAUUAUUUCAGAGGUAAGGAAAUUAAAAACAAAAAAUUCUUUAGAUUUAUUAUAGCGUAUAUGUAAUAUAACAUGGAAUAGGCAAUGUGGAAUAAAAAUAAAUACGAGAAAUAUUAGAUGUGUAAGCAAUUACGUAAGUGCGUAAAAGUCGAACAUAAUUUUAAUGCAAAAGUUAGCAUAAGAAACAGAUAUGAUAAAACUGACGUUUUUCCCUUUCUUGAUGUUGUUGUUAGAGAGAUGUUAUGAUACAGUUUGUAACGUAAACAAAGUGUGAGUUAUCGCUAUCAUUGUUUACCUUUCUUUACCUCAUUACAUAUUUUUGUUCGGAAGGAAAUUCCUUCAUUGAUAAGAAUUUUUCUCGUAUUUCAGAUAAUAACUACUGUGACGGUAAUUGGCCGUAUAAUCCACAUACUGCUCCACCACCAACGGAUUCGGUACUUUACUGGAUGAGCCCUCCACCGCCUGUGCCACCUCAACAUUUCAACACGGCUUUAAAUUACCAUCAUAGUCCAUUGAAUACCAAUGUGUAUAAUUUUGCCGAUAGGCCCUGCCAUUCUCCAUUGCCUAUGAUGGCUCCUGUCAUGCCGCCCGCAACUUUUACUUCAGCAACACAAGACAGCCAAAUCGACAUGUUCGAGAGGGCGAUGGAUCUUAAGUGUCUGCGCGAGAAGAAUAUAAAAUUGGUGGAUGAAAAUCAGCUACCACCCUCCGUUCUGAGCCUUGAGCGCCUUACUGCACUAGGGGGAGGACAACAAAAUGCUUACGAAAAAGACCAGGGAUUAGGGGGAAAAAACUGGACUCCUCCACACUCUACAAACAACGCUUCGCCUCAAUAUCAUCGUAGCAGAGCUAAUAAAUGGAAUCAAACCAAAGCCCGUACACCAAAAAAGAGCAGUUUAACACCUGCUAGAAAGACUGAAGCUGUUAAUACGCUAGGGCAACCUAACCAUAAAGCUUACUCCUCGAAAAUUAAUCCACAGGAGCUCGAACAACCAGAGAGGCAGAUGUUUCACAUGUUACCUACAUUGACUUAUGAAAAUCAACUUCCACAAGUAACUAAGGAUGGCAAAUUGGAAUUUAAAAAUAAUACGAGCUUACCACGCUUACCUCCUCCAGAGUCUUUUGAAAAGCUUAUAAAGUCGAAGAGGAGGAGAAAAAAGGGAUCGAAAAAGUCUGGUGUAUUUAAUUGCGGAUUUUGUCGCAAGAACAACAUAAACAACCCUAGCUUCCAAACGCAUCCUUUAAAAGAUGAAGAAUUCCGCGUUCUUUGCCCUAUGCUGAGAGCCUAUAUUUGUCCUAUAUGCUUAGCGAGAGGAGAUAAUGCACAUACAUUAAAGUACUGUCCGUAUGCUGUCAAGCCAUGGUUUAUAAUGAAAAUUACUUUGUCUCAUUGGUCUUCGCUACCUCUUUCUGUACAAAUUCGCCUUACGAAAUUGGCUAAUGAAACGGGAAUAAAAUCAAUUGAACCAAUUUAUCCAAAUACCAAAUUAGACUAUUUGUCUCGAUCUCGAUUACAUAUGAAUAUGACUGUUUCCAAUGCAGUAACUCUUCUUCGUAAAGGAUACUUUCAUUUUUAUCCCGUACCUCAACGAAAACAACCAACGGAAAAUCUAGCCCCGAGACAUCCGGAAAAUUCGUACAAUGAAACAUAUGGGAAUAUGAAUUUCGACGUGAGCCCUAACUCAAAUGAAAAUUCCACAAUAAAUCCAACUUUACUAUCCCGUGUUAAUGGUAAUAACGUACAAAGCAAUGGAAUGACAAUGCAUUUAAAUACGAAUUUAAAUAAUCAAGGGCAGUUCCUUCCACCAAUAGCCACUGGUGUAAAUAUGAAUAAUCAAGGGCAGUUCCUUCCACCAAUAGCCACAGAUAUAAAUAUGAAUAAUCAAGUGCAAUUCCUUCCACCAGUAACUACAGAUAUAAAUAUGAAUAAUCAAGGACAAACUCUCCCACCACUAACUAUGGAUAUAAAUAUGAAUAAUCAAGGGCAAUCUCUUCCACCACCAGCUAUGGAUAUUAACAUGAAUAAUCAAGGACAGUAUCUUCCGCCAUUACCCACGGAAAUGAAUAUGAAUUCGAACAUAAACAUGAAUAUGCAUUCAAACCUGAUUCCAAAUCUCCAUAUGAAUAUGAAUCCUGCCACGAAUCCAAAUAUUCCUAUAAAUAUAAAUCCUGAUACCAGACCAAUUUUCCACAUGGACAUGAACAAUUCAACGAAUGUAAAUAAUCUUGCCUAUCAAAAUCCAACUCAAUCUUACACACCACCGUCAAAUAUGACUCAAACAACCCAGUUUCCACAGAAUCCUCUUGUACUUACUCAAGGUUACAAGUUUACGAGAGAGAAGAUUCUGGAGACAACUGCUGCCAUUGGGUCGGCUAUUUUCCCUCCAAUUAUCAACAAUACUGGAUACGGGUAUCAAACUGUCCCGGAGCCUGUUACGUAUCAAGAAAAUCACAGAAAUUUUGCUCAAUCAGAAGCUAUUAAUCAUAUGCCCGUUAAAAGUUAUAAACACGUAGACGGAUCGCACAAAUAUAAUUAUAAUAAGAAACACGAUGUGACUUUGACGAAUAAACCUCGUAAAGAAAUUACAAAAUUCAAAUCAAUACCCAGUCAUUUUAAUACCAAUUCAGUAAAAGGACAUAAAUUUCAUACCAGCACUACUACAAUUCAAACCAAGCCAGAAAAAUUGGAAAAACCCAUAGAAAAAUUAGAUACUGUUUCUGAUAUAAAUGGCAAGAAGACUAGUGAGAGAAAUGACAAAAUUAAGGCAGUCACAUCAAAGGGGUUUUCGAAAACCACCAAUACAAAUAAGAUAAUCCCAAAAAGUAAUUCAAAAUCUUUACAUAGAGAAUAUCGUUGUGUACAAAUUACGAGAGGUGGGCCUAGUAAGAAAACUAAAUUUAAGCAUUCCACUAAUCCGGAGGUCACAAAGGAGAAAGAUGAAUUAGGCGAGUUAACAGCAGAAAGCAGUGAAGCUGAUUUAAAGAAUACUCCAGUUUACAAGUCAACGUCCAGUACUGUUAGUAAGAUAAAUACAAAACGUGAGGAUGAGAAGAAAUCACGAGAUUAUAAUACAAACGUUGAUAAGACUAAAAAUCAGCAAAGCGAAGCAAAACCUAGAGUUCCAACCUAUUCAGAAAUAAUAACGAGAAAUACCAAUAAUAAAUCAAACUGUUUAAAAAACACCAAACUUCCGGAUGCAACAAAAUCGCAAUCUUUCCAAAACUCCAAAAUUUCAAAAAAUGAAAAAAUAGAAAAUUCCGGUAAAUUGAAAUCUGAGAGAGAUACAGUUCGAUCAAAUGCUGUAUCUAAUAAACCGACAGAGGACUCAAAGUUGGAGAUAGCACAAAGCGAAGCACCCAAGCCAAAAAUCCCAACAUAUUCUGACAUAAUUAUGCGAAAUAAUCCAAUGAAUAAAAAUAAUACAACUGUCGAAGGUGUUAAAAAGCCGAUUGUUAAUAGUCAGAAAAAGUUGGAAGACAAGACAAUAAAUCCAGCGCGGGAGGGAACCAAUAAUCCGAAAGAACGUUUAAAUGACUCAAAAAAAACCUGUCAGGUUAGACCAAUAGGAUUAAAAACUUAUACCAAUCCAAAUAGAAACAGGAGUUUACGAAAUGAGAGGAGUGUAAAUGACAAUCAACGGACCGAUGGACACCUAAAGAAAAAUGGAAGGAAAAAUCAUAUCAGGUAUUCGGAAAGAUGUUAA
rnacentral:misc_RNA from 1 species